rnacentral:rRNA from 1 species
AGUGAACGCUGGCGGUAGGCCUAACACAUGCAAGUCGAACGGCAGCACAGUAAGUGCUUGCUCUUACGGGUGGCGAGUGGCGGACGGGGGAGGAAUACAUCGGAAGCUACUUCUUCGUGGGUGAUAACGUAGGGAAACUUACGCUAAUACCGCAUACGACCUACGGGUGAAAGCAUGGGAUCUUCGGACCUUGCGCGAUUGAAUGAGCCGAUGUCGGAUUAGCUAGUUGGCGGGGUAAAGGCCCACCAAGGCGACGAUCCGUAGCUGGUCUGAGUGGAUGAUCAGCCACACUGGAACUGAGACACGGUCCAGACUCCUACGGGAGGCAGCAGUGGGGAAUAUUAGACAAUGGGCGCAAGCCUGAUCCAGCCAUACCGCGUGGGUGAAGAAGGCCUUCGGGUUGUAAAGCCCUUUUGUUGGGAAAGAAAAGCAGAAGGUUAAUACCUAGCUGUUAUGACGGUACCCAAAGAAUAAGCACCGGCUAACUUCGUG